AGUGAACGCUGGCGGUAGGCCUAACACAUGCAAGUCGAACGGCAGCACAGUAAGAGCUUGCUCUUACGGGUGGCGAGUGGCGGACGGGUGAGGAAUACAUCGGAAUCUACUUUUUCGUGGGGGAUAACGUAGGGAAACUUACGCUAAUACCGCAUACGACCUACGGGUGACAGCAGGGGAUCUUCGGACCUUGCGCGAUUGAAUGAGCCGAUGUCGGAUUAGCUAGUUGGCGGGGUUAAGGCCCACCAAGGCGACGAUCCGUAGCUGGUCUGAGAGGAUGAUCAGCCACACUGGAACUGAGACACGGUCGCGACUCCUACGCGAGGCCGCAGUGGGGAAUAUUGGACAAUGGGCGCAAGCCUGAUCCAGCCAUACCGCGUGGGUGCAGAUGGCCUUCGGGUUGUAAAGCCCUUUUGUUGGGAAAGAAAAGCAGCAGGUUAAUACCCCGCUGUUCUGACGGUACCCAAAGAAUAAGCACCGGCUAACUUCGUG
rnacentral:rRNA from 1 species